AAAACUUUCAACAACGGAUCUCUUGGUUCUGGCAUCGAUGAAGAACGCAGCGAAAUGCGAUAAGUAAUGUGAAUUGCAGAAUUCAGUGAAUCAUCGAAUCUUUGAACGCACAUUGCGCCCCUCGGUAUUCCGGGGGGCAUGCCUGUUCGRGCGUCAUUA
rnacentral:rRNA from 1 species